UACAGAGACCUCAAGCGUUAUCCGGAAUCAUUGGGCGUAAAGCGUACCGAUAGGUGGUUGAAAUAGUCUUGGGUAAAAGCCAGAAGCUCAACUUCUGCGUUUGCUUAAGAUACUUUUCGACUAGAGGGGCAAAGAGGUGCUUGGAACGAAUGGUGUAGUAGUGAAAUGCGUUGAUAUCAUUCGGAACACCGAAAGCGAAGGCAGAGCACUGGGUGCCACCUGACACUGCUAGGACGAAAGCGUGGGUAGCGAAUGGG
rnacentral:rRNA from 1 species